CUCUUCUCCCAAGUAGCAAGCAACAGGAUGAGCUGCACUAGGGGGGACACAGCUCGAGUAUUAGGAAAAUUUCUUCACUGAAGGAAUAGCAAGGGACAGCCAGCUGUGGUAGAGGUCACAGGAAUAAAGGACAGCUUCUACUGGGCAAAGCUGUGUCUCAGCAGACUUCCAGUUGCACUAGGGAUACACUCUUUUGGGGCUAGAAAUCUGGAUGUCCUGAUGUGUUUGGCGAUUUCAGGAUAAGCAUGGUAACAAGCAUUUUAAAAAAUGUUGAUAGGAAUUGGUGUUUCGGAAUGAGGAGCUGGCAGAGUCAGCUGCAGACAACUUCCUGUACAUCCUAGAGCCCCUUAAAUUCCUGGUCAGAAUGCAGUGUCUUUUGGUACUGUGAUUUAUAGUAAGGUAUCUCCUGCUGCUGAAGAGAGAGAACAAAUUCUUCUCUCUUGAGAGCCAAGCAAGGACCAUCAUUCCCUCCACAUCCAGCAGCAGAGCAGGAAUGCAGCCAUUCUUGUCUACUCCAGUGUACAACAGUGGCCAGCUCAGGUUCCAGUCUCCUUCUUGUCCCUAGAGAGCACCUCUGUACUAUGUCAGGAAUGAAAUCCUGUCUCCCACAGUGGCUGCUUGUAGCAGAAUUCUAUUAUGCAGUGUGUGUUUUAGAAGGAAACUCCAUGCUUAGUUAUCCUAAAGGGCAAGGCACUUACCUCCAAAGCUGCAGGUCCCAAUUCCUAGUGCUCUCUCUGUCUUGGGAAGCAAUCAUGUCUUUGUGGUCUCUUCUGGAAAAAGCUGUCAUUGGCACUGUAUGCGAAGCACCUUAGAGAGGAGGGUGUGGCAAGCCAUGAUCUGGGUUUGGUGUGUUCAGGAUAAGCAUGGAUAUGCAGGCUAAUCCUCAGGCUGAAAGAGUUGUAUCAGAAGCAGAAGUUGGUGAACCUGGGGAGCUUUAAUUUGGAAGCUUCUGGGCAUUUGUAUUUCAAAAACCUUCAGGAUCAGUUAGCAGGAAUCCUGCAGAACACAUAUCUGGAUGUGGGCAUUUAAAUACCCCCUAACCUUUCUGUUUGUCUGAGCAGAAGUGACUUCAAAUGUAUUUUGAGAUUAUGGCUUCCCAAACAUGCAGCAAAGGUUAAAUGAAACUCUAGAUUUUGCAUUAACUGGAGUAGGCUUAAUUGAAACAUACCAUGUUGAUCUGAAAGAUUUUUUUAUCUUGAUGGAUUUUCUUCUAGAGGCUUUUAUGCCCAGGCACUUAAGCAAAGUGGCCUACCCCAUGCAAUCAGUACUACUUCAAGGCUAAGCACAGUUAGCAAAUAGAAAGGAAAAAUUUAAGUUUUCAGCUUGGACUCAAAGUUAUCUGACACCAUGUUACUAAACAGUUUUUCCCACACUUGAAUGGCCCUCCUCUCUUCAGCAAAAACUAAUUCCCAAACCAAUCCCAAACUAGCUAAUUCCAACUUCAACCAAAAACUAGGGAGGCUACUUGGAAUGUGAAUGGAUAUGAGGGGAAGCUUUUUUCUUCAAGCUGCAGCAUCCUUGGCUCUUCUAGUGCCAGAUGUACUUUCAAAAGCUGCAUGUAAAUUUGACCUUAGCCUGCUCUUUUGUAAACUGACACAUUAUAGUCAUUACACAACUAAAGUAAUUUCCCAUUGCAAAAAUACAUGUUUACAAACACUUCUUAUUCAAAGGGAAAAAGAAGGCUUAGCUAGAAAAGAAGUUGUUUAAGAUCCCAGUGCAUGACAGGGACAUAGACAGUGGGAUUGAGUGCAGCCACAGCAAGUUUGCCAAUGACACCAAGCUGUGUGGUGUGGUGGACAUGCUGGAGGGAUGGAUGCCAUCCAAAGGGACCCUGACAGAUUUGAGAGGUGGGCCCAUGUGAACCUUAUGAAGUUUAACAAGGUGCAAGAUCCUGCACCUGGGUCAGGGCAAUCCCAACUACAAGUACAGGCUGGGCAGCAAAGGGAUUGAGAGCAGCCCUGAGAAGAGCUGGGGAUGUUGGUGGAUGAGAAGUUUGACGUGACCCAGCAAUGUGCACUUGCAGCCCAGAAAGCCAAGUGUGUCCUGGGCUGUGUGAAAAGUGACACAAGAAGCAGAGCUCAGUGAUUUUUGUUUUCAUGCCACUGCCAGACAAAUAUAUUUGGAUGAGAUAAGAACUUUGAAAACCUCCCUGGAAGAAUCUUAAGAGGUGGAUGUUUGUUGUGGGGGUUAAUUAUUUUUAUUUAAGAAAACACACAGAAAACCCUAAAGCAGAAAUCUCUACAGCAAGAAUUUUGAGAAGAAAACUGGAAGUCAAGUACAUUCACAUAGGAAGAGACUGGCAGCUGAAUGCAGCAUUUUGAAAAACAAUACUUGUGCCCUGGACUAAAGAACUAGAAUAUAUUUUGGUAGUUCAAAUGACACCUGUUUCCUUUAGACAAAAGGACUAAGCUAGAUUCUUUACCUGCUUCCAAUGUCUUUAGAGAACAGCCCUUGCUUCCACAAAACCAGACUAGUAUUUUUGAACACUGCCUGAUUUGACAAGUACGGGGAGAGGAGAGGAGGAAGUUUGUUUGUGUGCCUACCCCCAGAAGAAGCUGCUUGCAGCUUCAGAGAAGAUACUGAUUCCCUCCCCUUUUGCACUGUCUGCAACCUACAGCCCACCUGCAGCAUCCACCUCCUCUGCUGCAAAGUACAGAUUGCACCAGGCAUCUCCUCUGCAAGGUAUUGCAAAAAAACCCCUCAAUGCAGAGCCAGAGGCUUGAGAAUGGAUUUUUUUUUUUUUUUUUUUUUUUUGGGUAUUAGGUGCUGGGGUGACAGUCUCAUGUUCCAGCCACCCUGAAGGCAAGCCUGCAGCCCUUGGCACUGAGGAUGGCCUUGCAGAGUGCACCUACCUGGUGGUCCCACAGAGCCACAAGCACCUGAUCCAACACCCACCCAGCCAAGAGAACGCAGUAUAAUGCCUAAAUUAGCUGUAUUCACAGACCAAACUCCCCAAACCUGAGGGAAAGAUGGCACUUUGCCAGAACUAGCUGUUUAAAACACCAAGUGAGUUUCUACCGUAUGACUUCGUCUAGGUGCAACAACUUGAAAAUCAAGUAAUCUACUAAGGUGACACAUCUUUUUCACAAGAGCAUGCAAAUGCCUCCUGCAAUUUUGGGACAGACCAUCCUUGUGAAUUGGCCACUUAUGCUUCUCAUCUGCUCAUUGAGAAAAAACAAAAACAAAAAACCUAAAAGAAGGCUUUUCUGUAUUUUGGAAAGAGAAUGAUAGAGGAAGCAGAUGAAGGUUUUCUGUAUGGACUGAGAUGACCUGAAAUGAAAGCAGUUGUGCAAAAUAGCCAACUCUGAAAUCUGUCUCCAUGAUCAGGAAGGAACACACAGCACUUCCUUACUGAAGCUGGCCAGCCUGGUUGGACCUGCUCAAGCACACAAAUCAUAUUCUUCAGGCCAUCUCCAUGAGAAAACACUUCCAUCCCCCCAAAAGCUCUAUCCCCUUCCUGGCACCUGUCUCUUGCAAGCAGCUCUCACCCCCUGCAAUCCAUCUUCAAAAAAAUCCCCUCUGCAGCCUGCUGGAGAUAAUUCCUCUUGCUCUGAAUCACUUUGUGCAAUUCAGACAAGGUGAGUCUGGCUUGAGUUUAGCAUUCUGGCUGCUGGUGGGAUGCUGUGUAGGCUGGAGAUGGUGUUUUGGUGAGCUGGGGCUGCUGUGUGGCCGUGUUGCAUUGCCCUGGAAACGUGAGAAAGCCCUGCUCUGGAGGCUGCUUCACAAACGGCUGCUGGUGGCAAUAGGACAUCUGGAAACCACGUGGAAGCUGCAGAUGGUGGAAAUGUGUCACUGUGCUAGUAGAAUCCGAACUGAAGACCACUUCCACAGGAGUUUUAUCCUAUUGCAAACUGGCAAUAGACAGGUUUAAGAACCAGCUGUGAUUCCCAGGUGAGGAGAAUGAGAAGGCUCUGUAUCUGAGGGCGAUUCCCCAGUGAGGGGAAAGGAGAAGAAUCUGAGGCACCAGAUGGCAGCAUUUUUCCCUCACUGAGUGUGAUCUCAUCCUCUCAGAGUCACUCCUGGGAUCAUCAGGCUUUGAGGCUUCGUAAGCCACAAUGACCUCAGCUGAACUGCACCUUCUCUGUUGCCACCUGCUCCUUUUUCCUAAUUUUAUUAGACAUGCACAAUCCAGGCCCUUGAAGUUGUGGUUGCCUUUUCUCUGUGCAGGUCAGAGAGUCUAAAAAGAAUCAUUAGCAAACAGGUAUGCAAAAAAUUUAGACCACGGAAUACAGCUCUGGCCUCUAAAUUUUCCACAUCCUCUAAAUAUUACGGAUCAUGAAGUUUAUUUGAUAUUCUUGUUAACUACAUGCUCUUUUCCAUAUACACACGUGCACAAUGUAAUACUUGUCUACAAGCAAGUUUGGCAUGUGUCCUUUUCUAUCAGUGCUUUAUUCCUUGAAUAAUAUUUCAUUAUACACAAGUUAUGUAUGUCAAGUUAUGCACUACUACACUUGUAACCUCUGUUGCAAGAACUCAAUUCUGGACAAAUAAUCUGAAUCAGAGCAGGGAUUUUUGAGAACUAAACUGCAAGAUCUGGGUUUUUUUACAGUUACAGACGUGGCCUAAAGCUUUGUGGGCUGGGAAUUCUGUUAUCUCACAAUCCUCUGUUCUGCUUCUUCCCUUCAUCCUCAUGUUAUUGCUUUCAAUGCUGCUUUGUUAGUGGUUUUGAAUUAGAAGAAAAAAACCUACACAUUAUGUCCAGCUGUAACAAACUAUUCUUAAAACAUCUACCUUUAAACUUGAACUCUGCAGCACUGGGAUGCAAAUGUUUGUUUAUCUGAACGAUGUGACUAACACUGACAGCAUAAGAAUGGCUCUUUAUCCAAAGCAGGGUUGGAUUGCUGGGCCCCAGAGGGUGAAGGAGUAGCAGCCCUGGCUGCUGCUUUCUUUGACUGUUACUCCAUCAGGUUGCUGGUGUUUCUGCUCUGGUGACUGUGUUAAUGCUUUGCAAAUGCUAUGAGCUCAGUAGUAGACUAUUUGGGGAUUGUAUAAUUUAUUAACUUCUGACAAGCAGGCCAUUAUUUUUCUGAAGAACAUGUGUGACAAGGGACUUUUAUUUUAUUUUUCAAAUUUCAGCCAAAUUCAACAUGAGUGUCACAGGAUAGGGGCACUAGAUCCUUGACAGCCCCACCCUUCCUCUUAUUUAAUACCAAAAACUAUCUGUAAACAAGCAAGAAGGAGGGAGGGAAGAGUAAUUCUCAGAGGAAGUAUUAAGAAUCCUGUAUGAUUAAAACAUUAGGCUGUGUAAAUUUGGGAAACACUGCUAUUUUCUUCUGUUAAAAAAAAUCUAAUUAAAAAAGUACUAAAAUUC